rnacentral:rRNA from 1 species
AUUGAACGCUGGCGGAAUGCUUUACACAUGCAAGUCGAACGGCAGCACGGGGGCAACCCUGGUGGCGGGUGGCGAACGGGUGAGUAAUACAUCGGAACGUGCCCAGUCGUGGGGGAUAACGUAGCGAAAGUUACGCUAAUACCGCAUACGAUCUACGGAUGGAAGCGGGGGACCGUAAGGCCUCGCGCGAUUGGAGCGGCCGAUGUCAGAUUAGGUAGUUGGUGAGGUAAAGGCUCACCAAGCCGACGAUCUGUAGCUGGUCUGAGAGGACGACCGGCCACACUGGGACUGAGACACGGCCCAGACUCCUACGGGAGGAAGCAGUGGGGAAUUUUGGACAAUGGGCGCAAGCCUGAUCCAGCCAUUCCGCGUGCAGGACGAAGGCCUUCGGGUUGUAAACUGCUUUUGUACGGAACGAAAAGGCUCUGGUUAAUACCUGGGGCUCAUGACGGUACCGUAAGAAUAAGCACCGGCUACUACGUGCCAGCCGCCGCUGUAA